rnacentral:rRNA from 1 species
UAAGUCAGAGGUGAAAUCCUGCAGCUCAACUGUAGAAUUGCCUUUGAUACUGGUUAUCUUGAGUUAUUAUGAAGUAGUUAGAAUAUGUAGUGUAGCGGUGAAAUGCAUAGAUAUUACAUAGAAUACCAAUUGCGAAGGCAGAUUACUAAUAAUCUACUGACACUGAUGGACGAAAGCGUGGGGAGCGAACAGGAUUAGAUACCCUGGUAGUCCACGCCGUAAACGAUGGAUACUAGCUGUUCGAACUUCGGUCUGAGUGGCUAAGCAAAAGUGAUAAGUAUCCCACCUGGGGAGUACGUACGCAAGAAUGAAACUCAAAGGAAUUGACGGGGGCCCGCACAAGCGGUGGAGCAUGUGGUUUAAUUCGAU